rnacentral:misc_RNA from 1 species
UAAAUAAAAUGACCUAAUAAACCACCGAUAAGUGGCAUUGUUCCGCAAAGCACUUAACCCAAGAAUCUCUCCAAUUCCUAUAGAGUGGAUUAAAAGAAAAUAAUCAUGAUUCACAUCCGCAAAUACAAAUGAGACAGGGAUGCAUGACCUCAUUUUCUUUCUGGGCCCUUGACACUUUUAACCAGAGACUAAAAUGGAGAAGAGCUAAAAAGAAUUGUCCCAUUUGAACUAACAAGAAACAAAUCAUAUCAUAAACAACUAUUAUACCCACAGACAGAUCUAGCUACCAACAUCUCAUGAAACCAUUACCCGUGCUAUCAUCCCCUGGGUCCAAUUUGCAGUCUCCUUGAGCUGUUCAUCAUCAGAUUGAAGACACUCACCAAGAAAAUCAACAUAGAAUGUGUUGUCUCGAAACAAAAUCUUUGUGUUGGAACCAAGUGCGUCUGCCAGAUCACCCAUCACUGCAACUGCAGCUUUUGUCACACUCUCGUCCCUUUGACGCUCUCUGAAAACCAAUUCUAUAAACUGCAAAAGAUGUCCAGCGUGUGGAAGCAUCACCUCCGGUUUGGAAUUUUUGAAUCCCUGAAGAAUACC